AUACCUUUCUCGGCCUUUUGGCUAAGAUCAAGUGUAGUAUCUGUUCUUAUCAGUUUAAUAUCUGAUAUGUGGACCAAUGGUCCAUAUGAUAUUAAAUUAAUUUUUUAAGGGAGGAAGUCCACUAUAGUAGCUUGCUACUGGGAUUUCCAUUUGUCGCUCAUGGGUUGCACUAAAGCAUGAGCCUGGCAUUUCCCAC